ensembl:snRNA LOC120096433 U2 spliceosomal RNA
AUCGCUUCUCGGCCUUUUGGCUAAGAUCAAGUGUAGGAAGAUGAAGUCCAUCCUAAAUCUGUUUCUGAUGCUAUAAGGUCAUAUUUCUGAGAAUCACAAACCAUUUUAGUAAAGAGGACUCUGA